GACAGAGGAUGCAAGCGUUAUCCGGAAUGAUUGGGCGUAAAGCGUCUGUAGGUGGCUUUUCAAGUCCGCCGUCAAAUCCCAGGGCUCAACCCUGGACAGGCGGUGGAAACUACCAAGCUGGAGUACGGUAGGGGCAGAGGGAAUUUCCGGUGGAGCGGUGAAAUGCGCAGAUAGUCGGGAAGAACACCCGUGGCGAAGGCGGCUCUCUGGGACGGUACUGACGCUGAGACGGCGAAAGCGUGGGGAGCGAACAGGA
rnacentral:rRNA from 1 species